rnacentral:rRNA from 1 species
CUUGCGUCUGAUUAGCUAGUUGGUGUGGUAACGGCACACCCAAGGCUACGAUCAGUAACUGGUCUGAGAGGAUGAUCAGUCACACUGGAACUGAGACACGGUCCAGACUCCUACGGGAGGCAGCAGUGAGGAAUAUUGGGCAAUGCUCGAAAGAGUGACCCAGCAACGCCGCGUGGAGGAUGAAGGUAUUCUAUAUCGUAAACUCCUGUGAGAGCAGACGAAAGACAGAUUAUUAAUCUGGAUGACUGUAUGCUCAGAGGAAGCCCCCGGCUAACUACGUG